CUAGAAAUUAGGGCACCGCUCCCGCCGCUUCCUUCCCCCUCUCUCGGCCGUCGUUCAGGCCGCCUCCUCCUUCCUCGCUCUCGGCCACUUCACUCCUCCGCUCCCUGCCGCUUCACUCCCCCGUGUCUGGUACUCGUUCUGACCGCUCUCUUCCCUGGCUCGGUCCCGGUACCCGUUAUGACAGCUCUCUUCUUUGUCCCCGGUUCCGGUACCCAUUCUGACCGAUCUCUUCCCUCCCCCGCUCCCGGUAUCCGUUCCGGCCGCCGCCCCUCUCUCGUUUGGCUUUGAAGAGAAACUAGGGCAUAGAUCGGCCCUAGUUUCUGUCUCUCUCGUGCUCUAUCAUGUGGGACUCUCUCGCUUUCUCUCUCUCUCUCUCUCUCUCUCUCUGUCUCUCUCGUGUGGCUCUGUGCUCCCGGCCGCCGCUUCCCUUCCCCGCUCCCGGUACCCGUUCCGGCCGUCGCCCCUCUCUCGUUUGGCUUUGAAGAGAAACUAGGGCACAGAUCGGCCUAGUUUCUGUCUCUCUCGUGUGGAACUCUGUUUCUCUCUUUCGUGUGGCUGGUUCUCUGAAUUUCUUGGCACAAAAGCCCGGCUCGCCUUGAAAUCAGGUACAAAGGCAAUGAUGCCCUAAAAAUUUCUAUCCUGCCUUCGUCUCUCUACAACGAUGGCAUAGUGGCUUGGAUGGCCUAGUAGGCAACCGCCACUGUUAUUGUUGUAGAGGGAGGGGGAAGGAUGGGAGAACAUCAUUAUUGUUGAAUCUGAGCCUCUGUUUUAAAUCUGUUGGUUGAUAUAUUUUGUUGCAUCAUGUAUUUCUUUCUGUCGACGUGGCUGGUUCGUGUGUUUGCUUCGCCUCAUAUAGCAUUACUCUUACUCUUUAGUAAUGAUUGUCUUGGCCAUGAUGAUUUGCCCUAUAAAAGAGUAUAGAAAUUGGGUGGCGUGGCAACUUUAGUUGCAGCCCUUGAUUCAUGUUUAUCCAUGCAAUAGAACAGUGGGGCCAGAUCUGAGCCUUUUUAUUCUUCUGAACUGUUUGUUUGUUUGCUAUUUUUUUAUAUCUAUCAAGCUUGAUGUAACCUGCAGAUGGACACCAGAGAAGCUGUAAGUUACAUUGCUAGUAAGUUAUCAAGUUCACUAACUUGUUAUUGAAGAUUUUCAUUCGUCUUUUGCAGCAACUAAAUAUUUAAAUUGCUAGUAAGUUAUCAAGUUCACUAACUUGUUAUUGAAGAUUUGCAUGAUUGUUUCCUGUUUAAUUCAGUAAUAUUUGUGUUCAAUGUUGGCAAGUUGUUUGCUUUAUCAUAUUGGAUGUUAUUCUGAAGAAGGAUAGUAAUGCUGGUCUGAUGCCUCAACUUUUCUGCUCAACUGACUACAUGUGGUUAUUGAUAGUUUCUAUUGCCCUAGUAAGCAUCCUUUGUUUUGUUGAAUUUAUAUUAAAUUUUGUAAGCCAAUCCUUCAGGCUAAGUGUUAAAAAUGGUUCAAAAAUACGUGUACACUUCUGCUAGUUCUCUUGCACCAGUUUCUGUUGCACCAGUUUCUGUCAUGCUGACAUAACAUUUUGAGGUCAAGUAUUACUGGUGGACAAAAUUCUUGUCACGUUGGUUUCAUCGUAUAUAAUGUGAAAUUUCCUCACUUACACUCUUUCAGAAAUUGCUGGUUGCCAACCCAUGAUGUGGAAGUAGUUUGGUUUUUUGUGUAUUCACCUACAAUGGGCUUUUUUUAAAAGAAUUUGUUUUCUGUUCUUUCAGGGCUUGUUGUAGUGAUCAGUUUGAAUUAUAAUUAUGACUCAAUAGUUUACACAAAAUGAGAGUCCCCCUCUCAUCCCAACUUUGUUCCAAUUUUUCCAAUAGUAGUCUUUGAUGGAAUCAAAGUCUUGUGAAUUGAAUUUCUCACAAUGUGUUCAAUGUUCCCCACUCCAUGCUGCUUUGCUAAUCAGUGUAUUCCAUGAAUUUGGAUGUCAGGUGCUCCUGAAAGGAAGAAUAUGAGUCCACAAUUGUGAGUUUUUUUUUUAAUUAAAAUUGAUGGCUUAAAUAAAUGAUCCUUUUAAUAUAUUGGUUGUCUGGAUUCACCGGCAAUGAUAGGUUUUUGGCAAGAGAUCCUUCGAUUUAUUUUUGUAUCAGGAAAUUGAACAAUAAGAAAUUUCUCUCCUUUGCUUCAACCGUGAUGUUUGGCAACUUUGGACAAAAGAAGGGAUUCAGCUUGCAACCUAAUAAUUAUUUCUGAAGAACCACGGUUUGGAUGGAUUUUAAAUACUCCAGAAGAGUUCGGGGUUUUUUUGUAAUAAAUUCUAAUUUAUUCUGAAUAACUUGCAAAGUUUUGUGUGCAAUGUUACUGCUAUCUGAUAAAUGCAUCAUCCUUCUAUGAUUGAAUGCUAUUGCAUUUUGCUUUUCUUGAUGUGUGUACAGCUCUCAAAGGACAGGCUUGGUUGGAGUGAAACGCUUGCCAAAGUUGUUAUUUGGGCAGCCUUUCAUUUGCAGGGAGCAACUGCAAUGUUUGUGGCAGCAGCUCUUGCUUCAAAGCAACCUGAACCUGCAAAUUUGAUUUCUGCAAAUGUUGUUCCAUGUGAAGAAGCAAGUUAACAUGGGUGAUGCAACUGCAUCAGCUGAAGUUCUUCUGAUUUUAUGAAUUUUUGUCAAAUAGAAAAUUUAUGUAUUCUUUUAGUAGGCAUCUGGUUAAAUUCAUGGAGAUCAAGAACAACAUGAUUUUUAAAAUUUUUUUUUUUUUU